AUGGCUACGCCGGCGAGGCUCGGCCACUGCAGCCUCCACGCGCUACUGCGCGACUACGACCAGCCGGGGGUGGAGGACAUCAUGUGCCAGGGCAUGGGGUCUGGCUUCGCGAACGACAUCGUCCUGCUCCGCAACAUCGGCGGUCGCUACCUCCACGCCAACGGGAGGUACCUCCGCUGGAACACCGCCGUCAACGUCGACGACAAUAAUCCCCCAUACGGAUACCUCCUCGGGGUCAUCCACCCAGAGCCGAGAUGGCUGAUCCGGUUCGUGUGGGCACUCAACGAAGGGCACUACCCCAAGGACCCCGAGGCCGACGGCUGGCAGCAGUUCUGGUUCAGGGGGAGGUCCGCAUUUCACCUGAGGGAUGACCUGGGGUUCCUCGUGCUCGACCUCGGCAUCGGCGACUACAACGAGACCUGUCGCAGCAUCGUCACCAAGCACGUCGCUGAGUGGGAGGCCGUCGUCAUGCGCUUGGGUAGGUGGAUCGACUACAAGGCCGACUGCACGGGGAGGUGGUCCAUCGCCUUGGUCGUCCUCACCGUCGAGUUCUCUCCUCUAAGUUAUCCCACUGAUUCCUCCCCUCUGCUUAUCUCCUAUGCUCUAUGUGCUCCGAAGAAUGGGGUGUCGUGCUUUCGGCCCCGUCAAGAGGUAACUGAAAUACCAACACUAUCUUCUGCGGUUUGGAUGUUCUUGGGUAGUGUGAGCAACUACUACAUCAACAGCGUGGGUUGCCCCAUCUCGUGA
rnacentral:rRNA from 1 species